rnacentral:rRNA from 1 species
UAAACCAUGCACCGAAGCUGCGGCAGCGAACGUAUCACUUAAAGCGAUUCAGCGGGUUACGAUUGACGGAGCGAAGCGACGUCAAAGCGUAUACAAAGUCGAGUCGGUUUAAGGAUACGUUCGUUGGGUAGGGGAGCGUUCUGUAAGCCUGUCACUCAGGUGUUGUUGGGUAGGGGAGCGUUCUGUAAGCCUGCGAAGGUGGCCUGUGAGGGUUGCUGGAGGUAUCAGAAGUGCGAAUGCUGACAUAAGUAACGAUAAAGCGGGUGAAAAGCCCGCUCGCCGGAAGACCAAGGGUUCCUGUCCAACGUUAAUCGGGGCAGGGUGAGUCGACCCCUAAGGCGAGGCCGAAAGGCGUAGUCGAUGGGAAACGGGUUAAUAUUCCCGUACUUGGUGUUACUGCGAAGGGGGGACGGAGAAGGCUAUGUUGGCCGGGCGACGGUUGUCCCGGUUUAAGCGUGUAGGUGUGUGUUCCAGGUAAAUCCGGUUCACUUUAACACUGAGGCGUGACGACGAGGCACUACGGUGCUGAAGCAACAAAUGCCCUGCUUCCAGGAAAAGCCUCUAAGCAUCAGGUAACAUCAAAUCGUACCCCAAACCGACACAGGUGGUCAGGUAGAGAAUACCAAGGCGCUUGAGAGAACUCGGGUGAAGGAACUAGGCAAAAUGGUGCCGUAACUUCGGGAGAAGGCACGCUGACACGUAGGUGAAGUGAUUUACUCAUGGAGCUGAAGUCAGUCGAAGAUACCAGCUGGCUGCAACUGUUUAUUAAAAACACAGCACUGUGCAAACACGAAAGUGGACGUAUACGGUGUGACGCCUGCCCGGUGCCGGAAGGUUAAUUGAUGGGGUCAGCGCAAGCGAAGCUCCUGAUCGAAGCCCCGGUAAACGGCGGCCGUAACUAUAACGGUCCUAAGGUAGCGAAAUUCCUUGUCGGGUAAGUUCCGACCUGCACGAAUGGCGUAAUGAUGGCCAGGCUGUCUCCACCCGAGACUCAGUGAAAUUGAACUCGCUGUGAAGAUGCAGUGUACCCGCGGCAAGACGGAAAGACCCCGUGAACCUUUACUAUAGCUUGACACUGAACAUUGAGCCUUGAUGUGUAGGAUAGGUGGGAGGCUUUGAAGUGUGGACGCCAGUCUGCAUGGAGCCGACCUUGAAAUACCACCCUUUAAUGUUUGAUGUUCUAACGUGGACCCGUAAUCCGGGUUGCGGACAGUGUCUGGUGGGUAGUUUGACUGGGGCGGUCUCCUCCUAAAGAGUAACGGAGGAGCACGAAGGUUGGCUAAUCCUGGUCGGACAUCAGGAGGUUAGUGCAAUGGCAUAAGCCAGCUUGACUGCGAGCGUGACGGCGCGAGCAGGUGCGAAAGCAGGUCAUAGUGAUCCGGUGGUUCUGAAUGGAAGGGCCAUCGCUCAACGGAUAAAAGGUACUCCGGGGAUAACAGGCUGAUACCGCCCA